AAACCAACUUGAUCUUCGGGUCGGUUUGCUGGUGAAUCUAGAUAGUUUUACUGACCGCACGGCCUUUGUGUCGGCGGCCAUCUCGAUAAUUGUAUGCCCUAUCAACUUUAGAUGGUAGAGAAAAUGCUUACCAUGGUUGUAACGGGUAACGGGGAAUCAGGGUUCGAUUCCGGAGAAGGAGCCUGAGAAACAGCUACUACAUCCAAGGAAGGCAGCAGGCGCGCAAAUUAUCCACUCCCGGAUCGGGGAGAUAGAGACAAUAAAUAACGAUGCGGGACUCAAUCGAGGCCCCGUAAUCGGAAUGAGUACACUUUAAAUCCUUUAACGAGGAUCAAUUGGAGGGCAAGUCUGGUGCCAGCAGCCGCGGUAAUCCCAG
rnacentral:rRNA from 1 species